AUGAAAUGCAAGGACGCUCUUUUUAGAGGUCCGACCCAAAUCAUUUUCCUUUACACUGUGCACAUACUACUUUUUUCUACACCAUUUUUUACGCAUUAGUCUAAGAAUGUAAAAUCAGUCUCGAAAGAGCAAUAAAGUAAUA
rnacentral:misc_RNA from 1 species